UACGUAGGUGGCAAGCGUUGUUCGGAAUUAUUGGGCGUAAAGGGCGCGUAGGCGGUUCUGUAAGUCGGUUGUGAAAGCCCGGGGCUCAACCCCGGAGGGUCGACUGAUACUGCAGGACUAGAGUACGGAAGAGGUAGCUGGAAUUCCCGGUGUAGCGGUGAAAUGCGUAGAUAUCAAGAGGAACACCUGCGGCGAAGGCGGGUUGCUGGGCUGACACUGACGCUGAAGCGCGAAAGCGUGGGGAGCAAACGGG
rnacentral:rRNA from 1 species